rnacentral:misc_RNA from 2 species
CGGGCGUCCUCACAAAUUACCUGCAUUCAGAGAUUCAUACCGGCACAGGUCGGUAUGCGAAGUCCCUUUUGGGGCCUUAGCUCAGCUGGGAGAGCACCUGCUUUGCAAGCAGGGGGUCGUCGGUUCGAUCCCGACAGGCUCCACCAUAUUGAGUGAAAAGACUUCGGGUCUGUAGCUCAGGUGGUUAGAGCGCACCCCUGAUAAGGGUGAGGUCGGUAGUUCGAGUCUACCCAGACCCACCACUCUGAAUGUAGUGCACACUUAAGAAUUUAUACGGAUCAGCGUUGAGGCUGGUACGUGUUCUUUUAUAACUUGUGACGUAGCGAGCGUUUGAGAUAUCUAUCUAAACGUGUCGUUGAGGCUAAGGCGGGGACUUCGAGUCCCUAAAUAAUUGAGUCGUAUGUUCGCGUUGGUGGCUUUGUACCCCACACAACACGUACAUGUAGCUCCGAGGCAACUUGGGGUUAUAUGGUCAAGCGAAUAAGCGCACACGGUGGAUGCCUAGGCGGUCAGAGGCGAUGAAGGACGUGGUAGCCUGCGAAAAGUGUCGGGGAGCUG